GUGCUUGCUUUGGCAGCAUAUAUAUUAAAAUUGGAACCACACAGAGAAGAUUAGAAUAGCUCCUGGUUAAGGUUGGCAAAAAAAAAAUUGUGAAGUGUUCUAUGUUUAA